CAUUGCUUCCAAUGGGCCCUCCAGGGCUGCAAGGUGGCCACUAUGCUUCCAGGCACCAUAUCCUGACACAAUAACAACCAAUGGAAAAAGAGGAAUAGAUGUUUGCAUUACUGCUCUUCAAAAUCAAGCAUAGGUGAGAGAUGACCCAGUGGAUCCCCAUCAGUGUUGGAUAUGAUUCCUCAGUCAUUUUUGAGGAGGAGCUGCUUUACGGUAGAAUGGAGAGGAAAGAAUUGGGGUGAUACCUAAGACGAGAACAUCAGGAUACACUACUAAAGAUCGCCGGG